rnacentral:rRNA from 1 species
CGGGGCUUAGUGCCGGAGCUAACGCAAUAAGCACUCCGCCUGGGGAGUACGACCGCAAGGUUGAAACUCAAAGGAAUUGACGGGGGCCCGCACAAGCGGUGGAGCAUGUGGUUUAAUUCGAAGCAACGCGAAGAACCUUACCAGGUCUUGACACCCCGAUGCUAUUCUUAGAGAUAGGAAGUUACUUCGGUACAUCGGAGACAGGUGGUGCAUGGUUGUCGUCAGCUCGUGUCGUGAGAUGCUGGGUUAAGUCCCGCAACGAGCGCAACCCUUAUCGUUAGUUGCCAUCAUUAAGUUGGGCACUCUAGCGAGACUGCCGGUAAUAAACCGGAGGAAGGUGGGGAUGACGUCAAAUCAUCAUGCCCCUUAUGACCUGGGCUACACACGUGCUACAAUGGUCGGUACAACGAGUUGCGAGCCGGUGACGGCAAGCUAAUCUCUGAAAGCCGAUCUCAGUUCGGAUUGGAGGCUGCAACUCGCCUCCAUGAAGUCGGAAUCGCUAGUAAUCGCGGAUCAGCACGCCGCGGUGAAUACGUUCCCGGGCCUUGUACACACCGCCCGUCACACCACGAGAGUUUGUAACACCCGAAGUCG